CACACGGACUAAUUUGUCCGUCACAGGCCAAAAUGUGUUUCCAGCAUCCCUGCUCAGCCUCUGGCCCAGACUUCAAUGGUAACCUAAACUCCUGCAGGAGCCAAGGAUGCUGUGAAAUACACAGCCAAUGAAAGCCUGUUUUCUAGGAUCCAAAGCCUCAACCUGGGAACCUCAGCUGUAUCAUCUCAUCAACACGAAACAGAGAGGGGCCAGCCUGAGUGCACAGAAACCAGUGUUUUACGCAAAUGAAGUGACUCCUAUGCAAAUGGACUCUGCCAAUGCUGUGAGCAGACAUCCAGAAGUCCAGAAGCACAUCUUCUUACUGUUCAGGGAAAGACUGCUUGUCUGCAGGGUACAAAACUCAAUGCCCAAAUUUCCAGGAUCAUUGCUAGCUGAACUCUAUGGAUACAGCUUGGAUCACACAACUGGUGAGAAACAAAUCCAAGAUUUAAAGGAAGCUAAAACCUCUGCUAUAACUAUUAUGUUUUAUCAUCAUCAUCAUCAUCAUCAUCAUCAUCAUUAUUUCUCUCUGUGUAUGUCUGCACACUAUAUAUAUGCAGGACCUGUGGAGGCCAAGAGACGGUGCUGGAUCCUCUGGAAUUGCUGUUAGAGGUGGUUGGCAGUCACCUGGUAUGGGUGCUAAAAACUGAAUCUGGACCUCUGUAAGAACAGUAUGUACUCUUAACCACCAAGUAAUCUCUCUAACUACUCCCAAUUAUAUUUUUGGAGAGCGGGAAGGAGGAAAGGCAGAAUGGCAUUGUGAAAAGACAGGGGUGGUAUCAGGUAUUGGACAGAAAAAUGAAUUUCCAAACAGCUGAAAUUGUAAGCACAGAGUGAGCUCUGGGCCCGGGAGGAGAAUCAUCCUAUCAUCUCAGCAGGCUUCCCACGAUCACCUGCACCUGCAACCCAGGCCGGCACCUUCCUGCCAGAGUUUCUAUGAGUCUUUUUUCCUUUUGAAACUAGAAGGGUGGAUUCCUUACCUAUGCUCCUCUGACCCACCCCUCCCACAUAGCUUGCCUGGGAGGCUGCCCGUGUGGAGGGUCCUGUCAUUCUGGCUUCUUCAUGGGUUCAUCAGACCCUCGCCAGCACUGGAUUACGCGAGAGAAGAGCGCAUGGGUAGGUGCUUCUCUAUGUGCUCCACCGCCUCCAGUUUCUAGUCAUUUCCAUCUCUUCUUCCUCAUUCUAGGCCAAUGUAGGUGAGAGUUCCUACUCAUCACUAUACCUCCAGUCAUGUGUUCAGUUUUUCUUUGUUGUCAUCUUUCAUCCUGCCUACAUCUUUUGGAAAUGGUCUUUUUAGUUAAGUGUUUUCAAAAUUCCAAUUUGAGUGCAACAUUGUGUUCCUAUCAUGACAGAUACCUUGGACUUUAGUCUGAACCAUUUCCAAAAUCCUAAUAACCAUACUUUGGCUUUGCUCACUCAUCAACCAGUCAAGUUGGCCUCCCUUCCCUAGCUCUUGCAGAUGCAUUGCACUGUGGGAAAAACAAUGGCUGCCAGGUUUAGGGAAGGUUUCCAGGCUUGGAUCUGAUACUCUAUGACUUUGGCCAGGUUUCCUAAUUUUCUCAUUCCUCCUUUCUUAUUGGUGGAGGGAAGUCUAUACUCCUAAGGUUUAUCAUGAAGAUGGAUUGGUAUAAUGAACCUAAACUUUUAACCCAGGGUCCAGCAAGUAAACAUAGUUUUUCUUGAUUUUCCCUUUCUGUGUUGGCAAAUCUGUUGGGCAGUUCUACUUGUCUGACUCUGACGCACAGCAGAUUGAGCCAGGAGACAGGAGAGAUCAACCCUUGACUCCUGGUGGAAGGAAGACAGAUGAGAAACUCAGGAGAGUAAAGAAGACAAGUCAAUGAUUUGAAAGAAUGGGAUAGGAGAAUGGCCAGUGAUUGGAGAAAGGUAGUACCAGACAGGUGAUUGAAUUCUGACAUCCCAUAUAGCCCCUUUGCUGCUGUUUUUGAAUGGGAGAUGCUGAAAUAUUUGUGAUAGACUAGCCUCAAAGAGUUCUAGUUUUUUGAUAAGUAAUCCAGUGGUCAGAGAUAUUCCUAAUUUCUACAAAAACAGACAAAAAUUCUGUUACUUCCCCUUUGGCUUUUCUUUGUAGUUAUCCCAGCAGAGCUAUGUCUCUCCAGGGGGAAGACAUUACUCCUUACUUAGAAAAGGGCCUGAAAUAUCAUCCUAAGUGAGGUAACCCAAUCACAAAAGAAUACACAUGGAAUGCAAUCUCUGAUAAGUGGAUAUUAAUUAGCCCAGAAGCCCUGAAUACCCAAGGCACAAAUUGCAUAACAAAUGAUACCCAUAAAGAAGUAUGGAGAGGGUCCUGAUCCUGGAAAGGAUUGAUCUAGCAUUGGAAGGGAAUAUAAGGACAGAGAAAAAGGAGGGAGGUGAUUGGAGAAGGGAUGGAGAGAAGAAGGUUUAU